rfam:Cylindrospermum stagnale PCC 7417, complete genome.
GGGUCUGUAGCUUAAUUGGCAAAGCAUCUAACUGGCAGUUAGAAAGAUAUCGGUUCAAGUCCGAUCAGUAUCCA